rnacentral:rRNA from 1 species
UACGUAGGGCGCAAGCGUUGUCCGGAAUUAUUGGGCGUAAAGAGCUCGUAGGCGGUUUGUCGCGUCUGCUGUGAAAGCCCGGGGCUCAACCCCGGGUCUGCAGUGGGUACGGGCAGACUAGAGUGCAGUAGGGGAGACUGGAAUUCCUGGUGUAGCGGUGAAAUGCGCAGAUAUCAGGAGGAACACCGGUGGCGAAGGCGGUUCC